AUCCCAAAUAUUAUAUAGACGUACAUAUAAUAGGAUUCAGCUAUUAUAGUACGAGAAAGCAAUUAGGAGUUAAUAGAGGACAGUAUUAGGCAUACAGUCAUCCAAAAUAUGGUUGAAAUUUAUAAUUUAAAUACAAGAUUGAGAGUUCUUCAAAAUACAAGACAACUAAAGGUCUAAGGGUGCCUAAAGAGUAAUUCCAAAAUACAGAUCAUGAGAAGUAAAAGCUAGAAGUCUUUCAAAAUGAAGAGUUAUUUAGAUAAGACUAUAGGAAAUCUAAGAAGUAGGAGUUGGGUCUCCUUCAGUCUCCAACGCUUGCUCCAAAGGCACCUCAUCAUCAACUUCUGCUCACAUCCAAGGAUUUGGAUGAUCAUCGCAAGGGGAAAAUCACACACAUACAAAACACACAAUUGCAAGGGUAAGCUAGGUAUAAAAAGCAUGUUAUAAAUCAAGUAUUUCAAGCAUGUAAUGACAAUAAUACAACACAAACUGUAAUUGAAUGCAUUUUAUUGAUACCAAGGACAGACCACGUGAUUUGACCGUCCGGACUAGUAUGAAAUGUCGAGUUCCAGGGGUUUGUGCACUUGUGGUGGCCCUACUGCUUUGCAAAGCCAUUGCCGAGGGGUUUCACCCGACCACACACAAGUGUAAGUCCAACCAAACUCAUCUUGGCCCAUAUAAAAUGGAAACACCCAAGACUAGGACCUCCUCCUAUUCUCACCACAUGACUCAUCACUCUCUAAUUGAGCAUGGAUGGUCAUUAGAAUGUCAAGGUAAACCCCAUCCUGAACUCCGACCAUUCAUACGGUCAAUCACAACAACUACAGGGCACCACCAUGUAACCUCCCUNGAGGNUCAUGGAAUUACGUCCAAUAACCAUACUUUUAAAUUUUGACACACCACUCAUGAUUUUCAACGUUCAUACACUUGUACAUAAUUAUACACUGUUAUUUGAAUCUAUACAAGAUAAUAUAUAAUUCAUACAUACUCCAACAUUACAUACUUUUGCAGAAANACCACUUAUUAACACAAAUUUCUUUAUAACCUUUAAUUACCAAUACUUAAGUAAUUCAAAUGGCUUGGAGACCCUUACCAAUGGAUCCGGAAGGGUCAAAAACCCCUAGAACGACCUAAAGAACGUCCAAAACGGACGUCCGGAACUCCCAAAACGUCAAAAACAUCAAAAAUACUCACUUUGUCGCAGGAAAUUCGCUGAGCGCACACUUUGUGGUGCGCUGUGCGAAUUUCUUCUGCCAGUAGCCCUUCGCAGAGCGCACAGAGUGCGCUGUGCGACUCUGCAUAAUCUGCAGAGCGAAUUUCUGCAGAUUUUAGGAACUCACCCACCCAAAACUCACUCUAGGCUAUUUGGUGAAUUUCUAACACUCCAAAUUCUCANUAUAGGUUGAAUUAAACUUGUUUAGAUGAUUAUAACCGUUCCUAACAUCGUUCUCUAGUGUUUAGACAUUGNCAUCAAAUCUAAAAACUCAAUUUCCUUCUCNUGGAAGCCUAAGUUCAAUUCUACCAUUUUUCACAGUUUUAGAUUCUGGAAAUGGCUCAAAUAAGUUCUAAUUGACAUGCUUACUCGAUCCCCACUGCCCAGAACAACCUCCAUCUAAGUUUGCUAAAUUUGACCAUCUCACUUCCUCUCAAUUACCCUUAAAACCAGUAUUAACUCAAUUUACCAACCUAUAUGCUCAAUUUUAAUUCCACAAGUGAGAAACUGUUUUUACCACUUUUAAGGCUCCUAACAAGUCACAUUUGACUUAUCUAAAGGGUCUAGAAUGACCAAAACCACCUGAGAGACCCAAUUCAAAAUCUGACUACCCGAUUUCCUCUAAUCUGACUCUAACUCUCAUAUUUUUGCUUAUGUACCUGUCCAGUAACAGUUUAACAGAGAAUCAAUUUAUCUAACUACUCAACAUCAUUAAACCAUUUAAUAUCAUCACUUCCAUAGUUUCAUCCAAUUUCACGGUUGACAUGCAAAACAGAAUUUAACAUAACAUAGAUUUUAAAUUCACAAUUCAUAUAUCAUUAUUUCACCAAAUUAACUUCACAUAUAUAUAUAUAUAUAUAUACACCAUAAAUAUUUAUCCCCAAACUAACUACCCAAUUCAUGCAACCCCAAAUUCCAAAUUAGAACAAGAAAACACCCAAGCUUCCCUUACCUCUAAUCGACAACCAAGCUUAAGGAGACUUCAACCACACCCUUGCACCCUAGAGAAAUUUGAAAGUACCUAUAAAUCCCCAAUUGGAGAUAGAAAUCAGAUUUUUAUGGCAUAAACGGAGUUAAAAUUUGAGGAGAAACAUAGAGGCAGUCACAUGCAACAAGGUAGAUUGCAUGAUCAUAGCUCAAGAGUUACAAAGAAAGGGGAUUCAACUCACCAGUAUAUGGACAGUGGAAUUGAUCGGUAGAAAUGGUUGUUCUCAGCUUCAAGAUUUCUCAGAAUUUCCCUAAUCAACAAACAAUUGAUUCAGUGACGAAUGGGCUAGAGAGAAGGCAAAGCUUAAUAGGGUUUAGUUUCUAGAGAGGGAAAGUGGUUUGUAAGAAUGAAGCAGGAUAGGUAUUAAAGUUUUAUUUAUGUUGAGAAAAUAAAACUGUUGUUCCUUACAAGUUUCUUAGAUUAAGUAUUCAAUUUCUCAC
rnacentral:lncRNA from 1 species